rnacentral:lncRNA from 1 species
UUUAUUUUGUUCUUUGGGUUUCUUGGUGCAGGCGUGAAAUGGCUUAUCCAGAUUUUAAGUGAUUUAAUAUUUACAACUAUUCAGAGUAUGCCUGUAAGUGCAGAACUACAGUUUAUUGAAUAUGGAGAUCCAGGCAAAUAUCAGUUGGCUGGGGAUCCUGUUUUGAUCAUGGAGUCACCUGGAACAAACACAUUGAGGAUGAGAAUACUAUGGUCAUAAUAUGAAGACCUGAAAGAGAACCUGACUGCCAGUGUAAAGCAGAUAGCUGAAUUCUUUGGAUUCUCCCCAAUAACUGAACAGGUCCAGGCCAUUGCAGAAAGGGACACUUUGCAGGCAGU